ACAAUGAAGCAAAAUAACAUAUAAUAAGUAAAAUGAGCUUCUUUUCUGGUUUCUGUGCAAUGGCAGGCCUGGCUGCCCACAAUAACUAUUCAGCUUUGGGAUGGAACGCCAAACCGAAACACACUGGUGUUUUAUUUCUCUGUUGUUGUAAGAUGGAACAGAAUGUAGGCGGAGAAGAAUCUAAACAGUCCUGGAACAAAGGAACAGCACCCAGUGAACGUGGAGUUAGCUGUGUACAGCAUGACUCCAGCAAGCCCCAGCAAGCCCCUUUCCUGUCAGCAGUGCUUGCAGGACUGAGCACAUGUGUUGAGCUGUACACCUCCCUCACAUGUAUGCUGUGUGUGCAGAAGACAGUGACAGAAGAAGAGCAAAGGUGGUUUGGUGCUCCCAGCAUGGAAACCGUGAACUUGGCUUUACUUUGUGAGACUAAGCAAGUUAUUUAAACUCAUGGGCUUUAAUGGUUUCAGCACUUAAGAACAGGCCACCUUACAAGAUAAUUUUGUUAAGUGGCCUACUAACAUAAUGUAGUAAUCUCAUGUAAACAUAAUUGUUUUAAUAUAUUAAAUAAUAUUAAAUCCAUUCAUAAAUUA